rnacentral:rRNA from 1 species
UCCCUACGGGUGGCUGCAGUGGGGAAUAUUGGACAAUGGGCGCAAGCCUGAUCCAGCAAUGCCGCGUGGAUGAAGAAGGUCUUCGGAUUGUAAAGUCCUUUCGGCGGGGACGAUGAUGACGGUACCCGCAGAAGAAGCCCCGGCUAACUUCGUGCCAGCAGCCGCGGUAAUACGAAGGGGGCUAGCGUUGCUCGGAAUUACUGGGCGGAAAGGGCGCGUAGGCGGCGAUCUCAGUCAGGCGUGAAAGCCCCGGGCUCAACCUGGGAACUGCGCUUGAGACGGGAUUGCUUGAGGGCGAGAGAGGGUGGUGGAAUUCCCAGUGUAGAGGUGAAAUUCGUAGAUAUUGGGAAGAACACCGGUGGCGAAGGCGGCCACCUGGCUCGCACCUGACGCUGAGGCGCGAAAGCGUGGGGAGCAAACAGGAUUAGAUACCCCAGUAGUC